UUUCUAGAGAUAGAAAGUUACUUCGGUACAUCGGUGACAGGUGGUGCAUGGUUGUCGUCAGCUCGUGUCGUGAGAUGUUGGGUUAAGUCCCGCAACGAGCGCAACCCCUAUUGUUAGUUGCCAUCAUUCAGUUGGGCACUCUGGCGAGACUGCCGGUAAUAAACCGGAGGAAGGUGGGGAUGACGUCAAAUCAUCAUGCCCCUUAUGACCUGGGCUACACACGUGCUACAAUGGUUGGUACAACGAGUUGCGAGUCGGUGACGGCGAGCUAAUCUCUUAAAGCCAAUCUCAGUUCGGAUUGUAGGCUGCAACUCGCCUACAUGAAGCCGGAAUCGCUAGUAAUCGCGGAUCAGCACGCCGCGGUGAAUACGUUCCCGGGCCUU
rnacentral:rRNA from 1 species